rfam:Schistosoma mansoni, Puerto Rico, WGS project CABG01000000 data, contig: 0148
AUCCAGCUAACGAGUCCCAAACAGGACGAAACGCGCGUCGAACUGGAU